rnacentral:rRNA from 1 species
UGGGGAAUUUUGGACAAUGGGGGAAACCCUGAUCCAGCCAUCCCUCGUGUGCGAUGAAGGCCUUCGGGUUGUAAAGCACUUUUUGCAGGAAAGAAACGUCAUGGGUUAAUACCCCGUGAAACUGACGGUACCUGCAGAAUAAGCACCGGCUAACUACGUGCCAGCAGCCGCGGUAAUACGUAGGGUGCAAGCGUUAAUCGGAAUUACUGGGCGUAAAGCGUGCGCAGGCGGUUCGGAAAGAAAGAUGUGAAAUCCCAGAGCUCAACUUUGGAACUGCAUUUUUAACAACCGGGCUAGAGUGUGUCAGAGGGAGGUGGAAUUCCGCGUGUAGCAGUGAAAUGCGUAGAUAUGCGGAGGAACACCGAUGGCGAAGGCAGCCUCCUGGGAUAACACUGACGCUCAUGCACGAAAGCGUGGGGAGCAAACAGG